CCGCGAUGUCGCCCCUCCGCGGCGCUACCCAAAGAGUGAAAAACGCCGUGCUGGCUUUAGAAGGGCGCGGAGCGGUGCCCGCGGAUGAGGGGUCACCUGGCGACAGCAGGUAAAUGCCCCAGCACACACAGCCGAGGGGUCUGCCGGCGGCCGUGGGACUGGACAGCCUGCAUCCUUGGGAUCCCCUGUAUCCUUGGGACAGCUGUCUCUUUCUCCAGGCCACUGCUGGGGGAAAACAAAAAAGCUCUUACGGCCUUCUGAUUGAGUGGACAAUGCCAUAGCCGGAACUUGCCUUCUGAACUUUCUCCAAGAGCACAAGGCUGUAGCUGUCUGGGAGAUUUAAUGCCUGGAGAAUGCACGUCAAAGACUUUCCUGCUGUAAGCUUUAAUUGGCACUUCUGAUGUUAUUUGAGGGGAAAAAAAAUCCAUUCUUACAGCAAAAAAAUGCAGAGAGAUGCUGAAUAUUUCUGAAGAAAAUACAUAUGGUCAAACUCAUUCAGCAGCUUGGUUUCCAAAGGAUGGGAGGCCAAUAUCUGCACUGCCCCCACACUUCAAGUCAGUAACUCCAACAUAUUCUGAAAAGGUGUCAAGAAGAGACAUUAGAAGAAUUAAAUUCUUGAAAGCUCUGUGGAAAUCAGUGGCUGGGAAAGAGAUCCAAAUAAUUCCUCUCAGGGGGGAAAGAUGGGCAGAAAGAUGCUCCUUCUCUGGCCUAUUGAAGAUAAUGUCAAUCAACACAUGGAGAGGACACAUAGAGGAACAUGGAGAAAGAUGCUCGAUCUGCAAGGGGUGUAAGACAUUCAUAGGAAACAGGACUUCGUUAGUUCCACCCCUCAGAGAACUCAUUUUAAAUACAACUCUUUUCUCAGGAUUUGCUGUUUUGUAACUAAGAUUCAAUUUCUACUGGGAUAUCUUUUCUGCAUCACAAGUGUUUUAGAAGAUUACACAUGACUACCCCUAAACAAGCAGCAAUUUUGGAGCAGGAAGAGGGAGCAGAGCCAUACCCACAUCAGAAUGCAGCCUGCACAUCUCAGCUGAUCUGAUGUGAAACACUGACCACCAGCUAAGCAAAGGUAUUUUACAUUGCAUUUUACAAAAGCAAGAAAGUGACCACAAAUGUGCAUGGUUUUGACUUCCAUCAGCACAUGGACACACAUUUCAAACCCUUUCCUUUUGCUCUGAUAUGCCUGUUUUUGACACAUGAACAAUUAUAAAAACCACAGAACUACCAAAACUGCUUCUUUUAUCAAUGAAUACAGUUUUCCUCCUUUUCCUGACAUUUCAGAACAAGAUGGUGUGGUGCUUUUUCAGUAAAAAUACCAAAAUAAGGGUCAUAAAAAGGCAUUUAAUUUAUCAGUCACUACAGACCACUGGAAUUUGUCAUCAUUUAUUGCAGUCAACUGAAAAAGUAGUAAAGAUUUAUAACACGAUUCUGUGGUGCUUUACAAACAUAUGCUACCAUCACAUAGAAUUUUACUGUGAUUGUAUUAUGUAUCCUGUGUUUCAAUUUAAUAAAAUCAACACUGAAAUACAUACUUUCCAAACAAGGCAAUAUAUAGCAAAUAUUUUCUUUCACUGUAAAUUGAAACUUCAUGUAUUUAUGGUGCAACUCCCUCAAACAAUAAAGAUUUCAUAAUUUUAAUAAUGCACCAAAUGCAUCUAUACCAAGUAGCAGAAACAAGUUUAAAGGAGAAAACCUACUGCAGAAACAUAACAUACAGAUUUUUAGUAAAGAAAACAAAACAGCAGCAAGCAUCCUGCAGUACUGCAAGAAUUUGCUUACACACACAGAACGAUUUUCCUUUUGCAUCCCAGAAAGUUUACAGAAAAUGUUAGGACACAAUCCCUGUUGCUCUUCACUGUUUAUGCUAAUAAAAAGAGCUACAAAAAAAUAUGAUCAGUAUUUAUAAUAAAACCAUAUCUAUAGCUGAUCUAAUAGCUAAUUCCUCUUGCCAUUUUCUUACCCAUAUGCUAUAUUCCAGUGUAUUUCUAAUAGUAAUUAUCUGGGAAGAGCAGGAAGACAGCUCUGAAAAACUGCCUAAGUGCUGCUUUCCUAACUGCAGGCACUGCAAGGAAAACAAAGAUGAUUGUUUAUACCCUUCAAUAUCAUUGUAUCAUUUGCUACAUUCAAUCCCUGAUCACUUUUGACUGGUAUCACAAGCAAUUUUGCAGCACUAUUUUUUUUUAGGAUUUUGUGCUUAACUGUUACUGGAGUACAGGGCUCCUCUUUUUGGUAAAUGCCAGGUUGCCAGACAACGUAAGAGGGCUCCUUGGCAUUCACUCUUUGACUCUUACAUUUUAUCUUGCUUAUGUGUUCAGUUUCCUAUGCUUUAUUGACACAUUCCAUAAACAAGUUAAGCAAAUACUUGGUCACUGGCACCAGCCUGCAAGAUGGCAAAAAAGGCUUGAAUUUGCUCAGGACUGAAGUGGUUUCUAUUUCCCAUGCACCAAUUCCUUUUCAGCUAUUUAUAACAUGAGUUAACAACAGCCUUUUUAUUUUAGGAAAAAUUUCUUCAAUGAAAGGGCUGUCAAGCUUAAAACAGACUGCCCAGGGAAGUGACUGAGUCACCAUCCCUGGAGGUACUUAGAAGAUGUGUAGAUGUGGCACUCAGGAAUAUGAUUUAGUGGCAGACUUGGCAGUGCUGGGUUAUUGGUUGGACUUGAUAAUCUUAGAGGUCUAUUUCAACUUCAUUUAUUCUGAUUCUGUUUUUUGAAAGAAAGCAAAAUGCCUGCCUUUAUGAGACACACUGUCUUAAUAGUACAUAUGCUAGUGCUCUCAGAAUUACCUUCCAAAUCCAGGUACUUCAUGGAUAGUGGCAGGGAGUGUCCAGGACCUGCCUGAGCUCUGACAGGAAGGACUAUGUACCUGUGGCUCUGACAGCAGCAGUCAUCACCUACAUGAAA